rnacentral:lncRNA from 1 species
AUACAAUGCGCGAGAGUAACCCUGCUUUUCCGUUGUUACAGCUGUCUGGAAGAUCGUGAAGGGCAUGCUUCCGUCAGAGGGGGUGCAGCGCGUAAUAUUCAGUAGCAAGGAAAGCCUCCUGCAAUACAUCGACCGGAGAAACCUGCCAAAGUACAUGGGAGGAGAGGACACAUACGUGUACCAGUACCAGAAGGGCAACCCCCUCGGCGACCGGUGCCCACGAUGCACGUAUCCCAAGGUGGCCAUACCGUGAACCACUUUUGUCAUAAAGAGUUCAUCGAAUGUCAACGUUGACCACACCGCGGAGAGACUGUGAUAUUGUUAGGUAGAAAUAAGACAAUAUGCACGCAUCAAAGUUCGAGUGAGCGUCCCGCAGGCCUCUGCAACGACCGAUGGCAGUGGACGCUACAGCUGUUCUGGACAUCGCCAAAUUCUGCAACGACGGCGCUUUGAGACAACGAGAGAGGAUUUGUACAGCAGUCCUCUGAACCCAAGAUGAAUUGUCGACAUGGCGAAUUCGACAAUGUGUUAAUAUUUGACCGUGGAAGUGUGUUAUGUUUCUGGCCAGCAUGGAAGAUAGUCGGUACACUGAUGGCUGGGAGAACAGCUUUGACGUUGAGCAACCCGAGCAACGGAAUUCGUCUUGAAGACGUCAUCGCGACGUGACGCUAUACCUCGUGUCGACAAGGGAAAUCCAAGAAAAACACAACUGUCUUUUAAAACAUGUUUCGUGUGGUAACCCAUGAAAAGUGGAGCCUGGCUUACGUUAGGCGCGUGUAAGAAAGCGUGACAUUGCUUUCCUGUGAGCAGAGGGCUUUCUCUUCGAAGUGUUUUGAUCCGCCACCAUCUUGAUUCGACAGCGAAACAACCUGCAUCGUUUCCUUACUUCGACGCCGUCUGAGCGAAGCUGUCUGCAUGCUUUGCUGGAAUUUGAAUUAGACUCAAGAUGGUCGCUGUCCGCUUAGCUGUCUGCUUAGCUGGAUGAGCACUGGAACACACGGCCAAUGUAUACAGAACUGAGAGACAUGCGCUGUCGCGGCCGAAAAGAAAUAAGUCGUUUCCGUGGUCUGGAACUAUACGCUGACAAUCGCUACGCCUGUUUUGUACUUGUACUUUUUCUUCAUACAUAUCCAUCCAUUCAUCCACUUCAAAUACUUCAAAAGCUAGGACGGUAUUGUUUUGUAUUUGAGCUAGUCGAUAACGCUGAGUGCGCGAUGGUGUGUUUGUGCGAUACUUUUUGAAUGUGGGGCGCGCUUGAGCGAUAUUGACAGCAGUGACCAGAGACAAUAUGUUUUGUCGGGACCAUAAAAUUGAAAUCAUCUGUCCUGACUAAUAAAUGACCGCUAAUGCAGUUUUUUUUCUUUUAUUGUCGACAUAUAAAGAGAUCAAACACGUCAUAAACGACUCUGGGGCUCAGUAUAUAGUAAUCCUUAAGUGGAGUGACCUCAGAGCUGAGAAAAAAAUGUACGCGUUUAUUUUUUUUUCAAAACAAAAUCUGCUUAUCUGCAGCUUCGAUGACACCCGUAAGAGACAUUUCGUACAUUUUUUUCCCUUCCGCUCUCAGCCAUUCCUAUCCUUAAUUUAUAACUAUUAUAGGCGGCGUGCUUAGUUCUCAUGUAAAAACUGGCUCCCCAAGCUCGCCCAGACCAACAAGUUGCUGUAAAUGUAUAGCGUGGCAUUAUCCUCCUGCGUGUGACGUCACUCGAAAGUUAUUUAAAUUGUCGGCCGAACGCGAUUGUUGGAGUGUGUGUGAAACUCUGCAACGCUGUAAAUAUAGGUGAACCAUCGUACAUGCACACGCGACGCAUCACAUCUUUUAUUAUUCUCCGAAUUUCUAUCCUGUAUACAGUUGUACAAACUAUAACAAUAAAACUAUAUUUCGUGAAAUUU